CAAUAACAACCCCCACCUAGAUACUUUUUAUGUCUUUCGAAGGUUGUGUCAGCAACAAACCGAAUCGUCAUUGUGAAAUAAGUUCUGCUUCGUCUCGCAUGACACGUCGCGAAUCUUAUGGCGUAUAUAAAAUAGUAUAUUGUCAGUUAUAUAUGUAGAGGAGCAUUUUUCUUAGAGCCCACCGUGCGCGAUACUGUACACUCGAUAUUUCAACAUUUUUUAAUCUGAGAAUUUACAUAAAUAUAAGAAAGAACCAUUUACCGAGGCUACAUAUAUUGCUACAUUAAUAAAAGCUUGAAAUAUUCUCGAAUUAUCUUGCGUAGGCUUCGUUCCUCUUAUUCAACUACCUUGAGGAACCUUAAAUUACUGCUGAAACGUAGAUCGAAUAAUUAACCGGUCAUACGCGAUUGCGAUUAGUUGCAAUUGAUGUUGCAACUCGAACCGUAUGGACAAAACAUUAGUAUUUACAAUGGAACGAAUACAACUAUUACUAACUGUCAGUGGUGUCAUCUUUCGCAACAUAUAGCGUUCUAUGAGAUCGUAUGUUAGGUUAGGUCUAAAUAAACAAUGGCCGCAAUGAAUAUACAUAGAACAGGUGAGGAAAUCAAUAUUUUAGUGCAUUUCCGCAUCCCGAUGACUCAUACAUGCGUCACUCUAAUUACGCAGUGUAUCUUUGCUGAGAAACAAGAAUAAAAAUACAAAUAUUC